GAAGAAAGGAAAAAUGGAAGUGGAAGAGGAGGAGGAGCCAAGCCACAAUAUUUAGUCUUGUAUAAUUUCAUGGUAUGAUGGACGCAGCUGAGGUGGGCCUCCGCUGUGGCCAGGCAGUUCAGCCUUGCCGUCAACCCUCCAGGUGAUGAGUGAGUUGCCGGUUGAGCUGGAGUGUCCUGGUAUUGGGGGCUCGUCUGGUAUUGUAGACAACCAUCUGUGUAACCUUUUCGUGAAGAGGUCCGGUGUGACCCCUGGCAGGUUCGUGAUGGUGUCCGGCACAGCGUUGAAGAGGUCCGCAGAAAACAACACGCCGAUUUAUUUGAAGUCAAGGAUGGAGAUUAAAAUGGCCUUGAAAAACACCACACCUGUUUUGUCCACCGCCAUCACCACCUUUUCCCAGAUCAAGGAAGUGUAUUACAGACUCACACAUAAGGAAGAGGUGUGAGGUUGCGUGGUAGGUGCGUUCACUGGUCUGGGCUGUGUUGGUGCGUGUUCUGAAGAGAUGACUGCAGAAACGCUGGCUGCUGAUGACUACAGCCGCACAGAGGUAGUGUAUUGUACAAGCUGGAUGGAAGUAUGCAAACCUCGCAAUGAAGAUGGAAAAGUUGAGG
rnacentral:misc_RNA from 1 species